CUGAAUACCAGGAGGACUGAUUUGUGAGGUCAUUGAUGUUAGAAAGGAUCUGAUUGACAAGAAGCUCCAAAGAGCACAGAAAACACCGACGGCAAAGUCUUCAAAACAGGCAAUCCAAAGGAAGCACAGUCCAUGUCCGAGUCCAAAAGAAUUAUCAAAAAACGGAGCACAGCAGCCAAAGAAUCGAUUAUCGUAAAUAAACAAGAAUUCCACAACAGAAAAGAGUGGGGACCAUCCCCAUAUAAAGUCCAACGGACAAAGUAAAGAAAUAAAUAAUGAGGAUCAAAAUACUGUUAAACAGCAACUGAAAAUACAGUCAUGGCGUUUUUAUAUUGGAGAAAAAUGGUGGGUGGGUGGGAUUGACGUGGCAGGAGAUGACGUCAUAACUACAAGAUGGAUGUGACGUCAUCAAAAGGAGACCGGAUGUGAUGAUAUGGCGGAAGUGAUGCCAUCUUCGGGAGACCAGACGUGACAUCAUCAAGAUGGAGCCGGACGUGACGUCUGGCAGCCAUCUUGCGAACCCGGAAGUGUGUGAGAUGGUGCAUCCCAAACAUUUGCAGUAAGAAAAUGAAUUGCCACAAAAUGUUUGUCUGUGAUCACCGCUGCCUGUCGCUCCUCACCGCAGGAGCAGCUCAUCCGAAGAUGAAAAGAGCGAAGAUCUGGAGCAACGAUAAAGAUUUUAUUUCAGUGCUGGACGGUUUUCGCCUCAUUGAAUGAGAUGGAGUGGAAAAGUCAGGAAGGGGCUGGAAAUGAGUGAACGAGUAAUGGUGAGAAAAUGAUAAGACGCCCCCUUGAGGGAAAAUAACCCCGCCCCUUCCAGCAGCAGUGCUACAAAGGUCUGAGGCCUGCUGAUGUUGGCGUCGCGUUUGGACCUCGACGUAGCAGUGACAGACCUGCUCUCAAGAGCCAACGCCUUGUUGGUUUUUCUCCUCUUCCAUUUCUGGGCCCUCAGGCACUGAAUUUUGAUUUUAGAGGAUUAAGAGGCAUGACCCACGUUGGCACCCCAAUGGCUUUUGGAUUCAGCCAUCACCACCGGUCAUUGAAAUAUCGACUGAAUGUGUCCACGUCACUGCCCAGGGAGAUGAGCUCCAUCAUUCUGAUUAACGUUCAUUAACUCAGCAACAGAAAUGAUUCACUUUGUAGUACAAGCGUAAAGCAGGGGUGGGCAAUGUGGGUCCUGGU